UACAGAGGGUGCAAGCGUUGUUCGGAAUUAUUGGGCGUAAAGCGCGUGUAGGCGGCCAGGUAGGUCCGCUGUGAAAACUUGAGGCUCAACCUCGAGACGUCGGCGGAAACCCUCUGGCUAGAGUCCGGAAGAGGAGAGUGGAAUUCCUGGUGUAGCGGUGAAAUGCGCAGAUAUCAGGAAGAACACCCGUGGCGAAGGCGGCUCUCUGGGACGGUACUGACGCUGAGACGCGAAAGCGUGGGGAGCGAACAGG
rnacentral:rRNA from 1 species